GGUCUGCGUAGUCCAGCAUGCAUUGCGCUGCCCUGGCCUGGAAGUCCUGUUUGGGGCAUCCUCGUCCCCCUCCCUCCGGCCCAGACACCCCCCCCCCCCCGUGAAUGGGGCAGCAUCACAGUGCUGCAGUGACUUCACACCUCGUGACAUCACAGUCAGACGGGGUGACAUCACAGAAUGACAGGGAGACACCAACCUGCUGUGUUGCAUCAUGUCUGUACAACCCUGCAACAUGCAGCAAGAAAUACCCCCGGCCCAGGCAGGAAAAAAGCUCUCUGCACCCACAAGCAACAGCAGACCUUCUAUUCAGCUUAGACACCAGCAGCACUAAGAAAUACCUGAGAGGGCACCGUGACCAUUAGCAUACAAAUCAGCUGAGCAACUCUGGAUUCCUGCUUCCAGAACAACGCACCUGUGAAACUCAGCAGGUUUGGGAAAGGAGAGAAUCCAGCAGAGUAAUUAUUCCAGAAUAGCAUGUCCACAUGGGAGUGUUAGUGGAAUAGCUAUCGUGCGAUAGCUAUUCUGCUAUAGCUGUGCUGAUCAAUUUCCCAAAGUCCUAAGAAACCUCAGCUGUUACUUUUGAUCAUGAUUUGGUAUAGAAGUCUGCAUUACAUUCACGCACUUGUCUGCCCAGCUCCGUGCCAUCUGAAAUUACCAACAAACAGACUCUCUUAAUGCCAGAGUGAGUUGUAUUGACACUGGACACUUAGUACAGAGGCACUUAGCAGUGUCACUCUGGAUUUCAGGGUCCUUGCUAUGCUCUGACCUCCAUUUAGGCUGCCUAUAGACUAAGCCUGUCAUGGUUGAUAAAUGGCGCAGGAAUAAAACUGGAUGCUCUGUGUUCAUCUAGUCCUGGUUUAAUCUUGCGAGCAAUAAUCAGAGCAUCUCCUAUGAACACCCUCGCAAAUGUGCUUAAGCUGUUUACUGUAGACUUUGGAAGAACAAUAGGUUUUAGGCAGACAAAUCAGUCAUCUCAAUGCUCACCUGGGAAUAAGAGAAGUCUUUUUUUCACGCUCAUUUACAUUUGCUUUAGGCUUAGAAAUAAACUACAUCAAAUCUCAGCUCAGCGAGAACUAAGCCUGGAGAAAGUCAAAGGAAUAAACUCAUCAACAUUACCUGGGCCCUAGAGAAGGGCUGAUGUGAGACUGGAAGUGUUCUCUCUUUGGGGUCUAAAGCAACCUGAGUUGUUGGGGAGGCCAAACAGAACUGCAGAGAUAUAGGGCCAGAUCAUCAACUGGUAUAAAUCAGUGUUAGGUUGACUGAUGUCUAUGGAGUUGUGCUGUUUACAUCAGUGGAGGAUCUGGCUCAUAUUGUGUAUUAAACCAUCUCUGUGCUGCACUUCAGUUUGUAUCUGUAGUACACAGUUUGGGCCAAAUCCCUAGCUGGUGUAAAUCAACAUAAAUCCCUUGAAGGCCAUACUGAUUUAUAGAAGGUGAGAAUUUGCCUAUUUAAGAAUGCUAGCAGCUCAUUAACAAAAACCUAAGCCUAUUAGAAAUGAUUCCAUUGGUAGUACCUUUAAAUUCCAGUGGGCACCUUGAAGCAAACAUUCCACUGCAAACCAUUGCAACCCUAGUCUAUGAGAACUGGAAAGCAAAACUAACCAAAAACAAAAGUGAAACUAACUAGCCUAUUCUCAUUGAUCUAACUGUGAAAAAGGUAAUGCCAAAUAUAGUAAAUAGUGCAAAAAGUAAAUAUUAAAUCUUUCCAGUUUUAAUAAUCCAAGCUGUUAUUUGUCACAGAGAUAACAAUAUUUGUUUUGAAACAAAUGUUUCAGUAUUUGAUAUGUGGUACGAAAACGUAUAUAGAAAAUAUAUAAUCACAAACAUGACUGUCUGAAAGCUGGCCAGUGACCUUUGGGUCUUAGAGGAUUGACAGCUCUAUUGAUAACCACAGUGCUGGAAUAUGAAGAGGAAACUAGAAUAUUGGGCUAAUAAAGUUAGCUUCCUUCCCUUUGAUUAUCUGUCUCUCUUUAGCAGAUCUUUUUGGAAGCUGGUUUUAAGUUGCACUUUACACUGUUAAAUGGUUGCCAGGUUCCACCUGAGAAGCAGCUGCAUAUUAAUGGGGUUUCAGCUGAUCCCUGCCUACAGUUUGUGAAGUACUUUCUUUCCAAAGAUGCAAUAUUAUUUGCUGUAAAAGGGCCUAUUAAUUCAGCUGGAAUGGAGUGCCUUCCUUCCUGAAAAAUCUCUCAAGAGUUGUAUCCAUUGUACUGAUAAGAGACUGAAUUUCUCCCCAUGGCAUCAAGUAUCAGAGAAGCCUGCUUUUACUGACUUCAUCACUACUGCUUUCAGGUGUGUGUUUUCAAUCAGUUUGUGGCCAUCAAAUCAUAAUGGGAUUUCUGGCACUUUGUGUUCUUUAUAUUCUACUCAGCAGGCAUUUGUGCACAUUUGUCUUCUCCUUUACAAACUCUAAAGGAAAAGCUGAAAGUUGAAUAAUUUACAAAUUAUGCCCACCAGCAUUUACACUUUUCCCAGUUUGGCAGCAUCAUCUUUGGAAGGGAAUUUAUAAGGCACUGGACUGUUAGGUAUCCUGGUUCUCCCGUUUUUCUUUUAGAUCUCUAUUUAAAGUCUGGUUUAGAGUUUUUGCAGCUUAAGGGCCCAGUUCUGAUCUCAUUUAUGCUACUAUUGCAUCAGCGUAACUCUACUUGCUUUUAUGGAGUUACUCUUGAUUUACACCACUGUGAAUUUAGAAUCAGGCCUUUGAAUGUACAACCACAUUUCCACUGAAGUCAAUAAAACUAUGCCCAUUUUAUACCUGCUGACAAUUGGGCCCAAAAGUCCUGUUAAAAGGUGUAGGAAGGACAAGUAGGAUAUUAUAGGUAAUUAGUUAGUGACCAAGGGAUUUAAGUCCAGUUAGCUGUGGCUUGUCUUUUUGAACAGAUAUUUUUCCUGUUCUUAUAGACAACAUAUAACAAGGUUUCCUUAAACUCAGUGUUGAAUCCUGCCUCUGUUUCUCCUUUCUUACAUACCCCCAUAGACCAACUCACCAGCUAGCUACAUCAAUGAAAGGAAGCUCUUUCCUUCCCUUUUCCCAAAACCCUAUUUACUAUUCAAAAAACUCAAUCUAACAUCAGUCAAAACAAGAAUACCAGGUCCUACUGCAUGGCCCCUUCUAAGGUAUCUACCUCAGAAGGCUUUAGCUUCUAAUGCUGCUUACACUUUUCCCCACCAAGUCUUUCACCUAGCUAGCAUUACAUUACAUUAAACCCCUUUCCAGACCCACCCUAUAACUCUCAUCCCUGAGUUAACUUCAUGUCAGAUCUUUCUCUCACCUGGAGGGAGGCAACUGAUUAAUGAUUGGCAGAAGGGCUGACCCUUAAAGGGCAACCCAAUCCUAUGACAUCACCAUCAAGGAACAUUUUUGGUUCUGAAAUGGUUAAACAGUCAUCUUCACUAUUAUCCAGUCAGAAGAACUGAACUAAAAAGAGAUCAUCAACUCCCCUUUUGUCAUUUUCAGCUUGCCACAGCCCUGCUGGCUUGCAAGCCUCAAGAUGUGCCUCUUGUGUUUUAUUGAUGCUGCCAAGUUCAGUAAACAACCCCUCUGCUAGUCUUGCAAAGGCCUUAGGGCCGCAUCAACACCUUCCCAGUGCCCACAGUUAGUUACAGGCUGGACUUCAGGGGGAAGUGCUGAGUGAAAAAUUAAACUGUCUGGAAUGCAAAACGAAUAAAACUUUCAUCAGA